ensembl:snoRNA U3 Small nucleolar RNA U3
AAUUGUAUACUUUUGGGGAUUAUUCCAUAGUUUGUUACUAGAGAAGUUUCUUUAGAUGUGCUGGAAACCACGAGGAGGAGGCGCAGCAUUCUCUCUUGACCAUGAAGCCAGCUCUUGGUGUUGUUUCACUGCAACUGUCAUUUGCCAUUGAUGAUUGUUCUGGGAGAGUGAGAGGGAGGGGACACAGUGUGAGCGGU